rnacentral:rRNA from 1 species
AACGCGAAGAACCUUACCUGGGCUCGAAAUGUAGUGGACCGGAGUAGAAAUAUUCCUUCUCAGCAAUGGGCCGCUAUAUAGGUGCUGCAUGGCUGUCGUCAGCUCGUGUCGUGAGAUGUUGGGUUAAGUCCCGCAACGAGCGCAACCCUUAUCCCCAGUUGCCAUCAUUUAGUUGGGCACUCUGGUGAAACCGCCUCGGAUAACGGGGAGGAAGGUGGGGAUGACGUCAAGUCCUCAUGGCCUUUAUGUCCAGGGCUACACACGUGCUACAAUGGCCGGUACAAACCGUCGCAAACCCGCGAGGGGGAGCUAAUCGGAAAAAGCCGGCCUCAGUUCGGAUUGGAGUCUGCAACUCGACUCCAUGAAGCUGGAAUCGCUAGUAAUCGCGGAUCAGAACGCCGCGGUGAAUACGUUCCCGGGCCUUGUACACACCGCUAGUC